rnacentral:rRNA from 1 species
UACGUAGGGGGCGAGCGUUGUCCGGAUUUAUUGGGCGUAAAGAGCGUGUAGGCGGCCAGGUAGGUCUGCUGUGAAAACUCGAGGCUCAACCUCGAGAUGUCGGCGGAAACCGUCUGGCUAGAGUCCGGAAGAGGAGAGUUGAAUUCCUGGUGUAGCGGUGAAAUGCGCAGAUAUCAGGAAGAACACCUAUGGCGAAGGCAGCUCUCUGGGACGGUACUGACGCUGAGACGCGAAAGCGUGGGGAGCGAACAGG